rnacentral:rRNA from 1 species
GGUUAAGCGACUAAGCGUACACGGUGGAUGCCCUGGCAGUCAGAGGCGAUGAAGGACGUGCUAAUCUGCGAAAAGCGCCGGCGAGGUGAUAUGAACCUUUGACCCGGCGAUGUCCGAAUGGGGAAACCCAGUGUGAUUCGUCACACUAUCGUUAACUGAAUACAUAGGUUAACGAGGCGAACCGGGGGAACUGAAACAUCUAAGUACCCCGAGGAAAAGA